GACGAACGCUGGCGGCGUGCCUAAUACAUGCAAGUAGAACGCUGAAGAGAGGAGCUUGCUCUUCUUGGAUGAGUUGCGAACGGGUGAGUAACGCGUAGGUAACCUGCCUUGUAGCGGGGGAUAACUAUUGGAAACGAUAGCUAAUACCGCAUAACAAUGGAUGACACAUGUCAUUUAUUUGAAAGGGGCAAUAGUUCCACUACAAGAUGGACCUGCGUUGUAUUAGCUAGUAGGUGAGGUAAUGGCUCACCUAGGCGACGAUACAUAGCCGACCUGAGAGGGUGGUCGGCCACACUGGGACUGGGACACGGCCCAGACUCCUACGGGAGGCAGCAGUAGGGAAUCUUCGGCAAUGGGGGCAACCCUGACCGAGCAACGCCGCGUGAGUGAAGAAGGUUUUCGGAUCGUAAAGCUCUGUUGUAAGUCAAGAACGGGUGUGAGAGUGGAAAGUUCACACUGUGACGGUAGCUUACCAGAAAGGGACGGCUAACUACGUG
rnacentral:rRNA from 1 species